GCCGAGGAAAUUCUUGUACUACUAGCCAUGGUCAACCCUACCGUGUUCUUCGACAUUGCCGUCGACGGGGAGCCCUUGGGCCGCCUCUCCUUCGAGCUGUUUGCAGACAAGGUUCCAAAGACAGCAGAAAAUUUUCGUGCUCUGAGCACUGAAGAGAAAGGAUUUGGUUAUAAGGGUUCCUGCUUUCACAGAAUUAUUCCAGGGUUUAUGUGUCAGGGUGGUGACUUCACACGCCAUAAUGGCACUGGUGGCAAGUCCAUCUAUGGGGAGAAAUUUGAAGAUGAGAACUUCAUCCUAAAGCAUACAGGUCCUGGCAUCUUGUCCAUGGCAAAUGCUGGACCCAACACAAAUGGUUCCCAGUUUUUCAUCUGCACUGCCAAGACUGAGUGGUUGGAUGGCAAGCAUGUGGUCUUUGGCAAAGUGAAAGAAGGCAUGAAUAUUGUGGAGGCCAUGGAGCGCUUUGGGUCCAGGAAUGGCAAGACCAGCAAGAAGAUCACCAUUGCUGACUGUGGACAACUCGAAUAA